UUUCUUUUUACUUGAGCCUUUAAGAUAGGCACUGAACCGUAGCUAUAAAAUUUAAGAGAAACUCGAAUUGUAAUCACCAGCCAUUGAGGAGAUUUUGGUAUGAAAAAGAGAAGUUGAAGUUGAAGCAGAGCGGGAAUUGUGGCUGUUUGUAAAAUCAUUCAAUAACUGUUACAAAAUGAUCUAAUUGCCUAACCAAUUUCCAAUGCAAUUCAAGAAGUUCUAGUUACCUAACAGAGCCAAUGUUCGCCAAUGGACAAAGGAACCAACAACAAACAUGAACGACACGCCCCAACCAGUUAAAACACUUUUCCUUCCUCAUUCGUUUGUGGAUUAACAUGAUUGAACUCUUGAAACACCUAUAAAUAAAGAAACACAUGGAAUUGAGUUGAAUAUGAACUUCAAUGUACCACAAUAGAAAAUUCAAAUAAAAUCUUUUUUUAUAAAAUUCUGAAAAAAAGAUAUAGCUUUUUCGAACAAAUGGAAUGUGUGACUUGAAGUUAAAAUUGAGUAACCUUGUUUUCAAAUUUUUGAAAAUCAAAUCAAUUGAAAUGAUGUGGCAGUGCUAGUAAAUUGACAUAACAUUAUAGAUAAUUUAUUUAUCAUAUAAGAUUUUUGAAAUUAUAUAAUUUAGUUUAAGGAAUUUAAUGUCAAAACUAAAUUUCAUUUUUUAAAGAAAAAACGAUUAAAAAUAGCCAAAUUAGAGUAUAAAUACUAAAUCGGUAACAUACAUAUAGUGCAAUAACAAACAACAGAAUUUGACAUAUAUAUAAUACUUUAAAAAAGUUAUAAACACAAUUUUAAAAAAAUCAUUUAUAUGUAACUCAACAGAAAUUAUAAACAAGAAUGGGUUCUUACAGUUCAUUUGUCAACUUAAGAACACUUGAUUAUAAUAUUGUAGGAGAGGUUUGAAUAUAAAAAAGAAGCAUUCAGAGUAUGACUAGACCUCCAAUUGAUAAAAAAAAGAAUACAUAAAUAAGAAAUCAUCAAGGCAAGAUGUAGACCAAAAGGCCAGCUUUGAACAACUCUCAUAUCUUACCUCUAGACCUUGAACUACUUGUUCCCUUGUAAUUUCCUUUUGCUAGCGAGAACGUUUGAGAAAGCCAAUGAAUAAGAUUCCCUGACAAAUUAUUAUCAGUACAAUCAAGGAGUAAACAUAAACUCAACUCAAAAUAAACAUAAACUCAACUCAAAAUCACAGUUUUGAAGCCUUUGCUCAAUUCCACCUCAAACUAUAUUUUAUCAAGACAUGAAAGUGAAUGAUAAACCUCAAACAUCUCACUCUUUAAUUACGUACAAAAGAUUGGCAAAAAUGCUUUAAAUAAAAAUGGUAUUUCCCUACAUAAAUACAAAAUCCUAUUGCCUUUUGUACAAUUCUCAGGGCUUUAACAAUGGCAUCUCUCAAAUCAAAUGGUUAAUAUUAUACAUAUCUCUUCAACAAACAACAACAGAGUGGUAAAAACUAAAACUAACCCCAAAAGGUAAAAAUAAGAAAAAGGGGAAACAUGAUACAAGAACAUUAGAAAAUGCACAUCAGUAGCAUAAAUCCCUAUUACAUCAUAUUCAGUCUUUUUUUUCUUUUUCUCUUAAGAAAUCAGAGGACUUAAAGCAAUUUCAAGCCAUAAAUAUCAUCAUACACAACAGCGGUUUCGGCUUUGGUUUCAUUCGAGUCCUAAUUAACUAAAACAUAAAAUGGGAGAAGCAAAAAUAAAAAUAAAUAAAUAAAUAAUAUUUUGUUGUUAUUGAGUUCUUUUUUCUUAAUGCUAGGUAAUAAUAAAGCUAAAAUUAGGGCGAAAUGUGAAACCCGUGGAGGAUCCAUUGAAGACAAGUUCAGGAUGUCACUAGGGUUGCCACUAUGAGCUAUGCCAAUAACACCACUACUACGAACCUCUACAUCAUCUUUGUGAAGGGAAUCAAGGGCUGCCUCAAACGACUGUUGUCGGCUUGCGUUGAAAACAUGCUGGGGGUUAUUGGAAUACUGUUGAUCGCUUUAUCCCCACUGAAAAUACUGUUGAUUUCUUUAUCCCCACUGAAGACAUCACCAUUCGGUUCUUCUUCUUCCCCACCCUCAACUCGCGAGUUGGCUUAAUGAACUUCGCAAAGGGUCCAUUAAGUCGGUAAAGAACAAAACACCGAAUUGACUCAAUCGAAACAAAUAACCCAAGAAAACCAAAAGCAGAACGUUAAAAAAAACAGAGAAGUAACGAAACCCAAUAGAUAAAACUCCAAUAAAAAAAUGGAUCGAGACCGAGUUUGCACCAAGACUUUUAACUCAUCUACAACUGAGUGAUGAGUAAACAAAGAAAAAGAAAAAGGUGAACUAAAGAUGGCCAGAAAAUGCUGAUUUUAAAAAAUAUUUAGGGAAAUGUUUGCUUGUAGGUGAAAAGGAAAAUGAAGUGUGAUUGGUGUAGGUGUAUUGACUUGGUGUUGUUGGAAAUGGGAAAUUUGGGGGGAAAUUUUCAGAGUAAAAGGAAAAAGAAUUAAGGACAAACUUUUACUUGGGGGAUUUAGGGCGCGCGACAGAGAUGAGAAGAAGAGGGAAUAAUAAGCAAGUAAUCAAAAA
rnacentral:lncRNA from 1 species